rnacentral:rRNA from 1 species
UACGGGGGGAGCAAGCGUUGUUCGGAUUUACUGGGCGUAAAGGGCGCGUAGGCGGCCACCGCAAGUCGUCUGUGAAAUCUCCGGGCUUAACCCGGAAAGGUCAGCCGAUACUGCGGGGCUAGAGUGCAGAAGGGGCAACUGGAAUUCUCGGUGUAGCGGUGAAAUGCGUAGAUAUCGAGAGGAACACCUGCGGCGAAGGCGGGUUGCUGGGCCGACACUGAAGCUGAGGCGCGA